AUCAAGGAAAUUGGUCCAGAAACAGCAACAAUUUUUAAAGGACUGAAAAAAUAAAUCAAAGGUUGUUUUUUGUAAAUAUGAACAUUAACUAAUCACCUUUGUAUCUGUUGAUCAGCGUUUGGCUGACUUGAUUGAAAGAAAUGUAUGAUUUAACCAAAUAUACACGGUUGCUGAAUGUAAACACUUUGCACUGCCAUGUUUUGUUAGUGACACAUAAGCAAAAGUGUAAAUACAGUAUGCAUGGGUGUAUAACAUGAUUGAUUAAAAGCCAAUUCAACAUUUA